rnacentral:rRNA from 1 species
GACAGAGGGUGCAAACGUUGUUCGGAAUUACUGGGCGUAAAGCGCGUGUAGGCUGCUUCGAAAGUCGGAUGUGAAAGCCCCCGGCUCAACUGGGGAGGGUCACGCGAUACUGAUCGACUCGAAGGCAGGAGAGGGUAGUGGAAUUCCCGGUGUAGUGGUGAAAUGCGUAGAUAUCGGGAGGAACACCAGUGGCGAAGGCGACUACCUGGCCUGUUCUUGACGCUGAGGCGCGAAAGCUAGGGGAGCAAACGGG